UAAGACGAACCGUCCAAACGUUAUUCGGAAUCACUGGGCUUAAAGGGUGCGUAGGCGGUCCGGCAAGUUGGGUGUGAAAGCCCUCGGCUUAACCGAGGAAUGGCGCCCAAAACUGCCGGACUUGAGGGAGACAGAGGUGAGCGGAACUUAGGGUGGAGCGGUGAAAUGCGUUGAUAUCCUAAGGAACACCAGGAGCGAAGGCGGCUCACUGGGUCUCUUCUGACGCUGAGGCACGAAAGCUAGGGGAGCGAACGGGAUUAGAUACCCCGGUAGUCCUAGCUGUAAACGAUGAGCACUGGGUUGGAGGCUCCUCCAUAGGCUUCCAGCCGGAGCGAAAGUGGUAAGUGCUCCGCCUGGGGAGUAUGGUCGCAAGGCUG
rnacentral:rRNA from 1 species